rnacentral:rRNA from 1 species
AUUGAACGCUGGCGGCAGGCCUAACACAUGCAAGUCGAGCGGAUGAAGGGAGCUUGCUCCUGGAUUCAGCGGCGGACGGGUGAGUAAUGCCUAGGAAUCUGCCUGGUAGUGGGGGAUAACGUCCGGAAACGGGCGCUAAUACCGCAUACGUCCUGAGGGAGAAAGUGGGGGAUCUUCGGACCUCACGCUAUCAGAUGAGCCUAGGUCGGAUUAGCUAGUUGGUGGGGUAAAGGCCUACCAAGGCGACGAUCCGUAACUGGUCUGAGAGGAUGAUCAGUCACACUGGAACUGAGACACGGUCCAGACUCCUACGGGAGGCAGCAGUGGGGAAUAUUGGACAAUGGGCGAAAGCCUGAUCCAGCCAUGCCGCGUGGGUGAAGAAGGUCUUCGGAUUGUAAAGCACUUUAAGUUGGGAGGAAGGGCAGUAAGUUAAGACCUUGCUGUUUUGACGUUACCAACAGAAUAAGCACCGGCUAACUUCGU